rnacentral:lncRNA from 1 species
GUGGGGUCAUGAGGGGUGAUGAAGUGAACAGGCAUCCAGGAGCAGUGGGGACACUGUCCCUUUUAGAACAGAAAGCUGUCCCUGCUCUGGCUCGUGGGUCUGGCUUUUGAAGCUCAUUCAUCUGGCAGCUGGCAGAGUAGAUGGGAGGCUGUGUGUGAUGUCACAGAGCUGGGAACCAGGGAAUGUUGGGGACAGAGGAGCCUGGACUGGACCAUAAAUGUCAGAAGGAGGUGGGAUCUCUCAUGACCUUCUCCUCAGUGGCCCUUCCCUCUGUCCCCCAUGUCUGUCAGGUUGGCUGGGGUGGUUUUACUUCAUGUGUCUCUCAUCCUUCUUGGAUUAUCAGGGCAGCUAGGCCAUGUUCUUCUCAGGAGGGUGCCAGAGGCAAGAGAGGGAGCCUCACCAGGAAAAUCAUGUCUGCUGGAGUCUCAUGUGUUAAGUUUCUAUUGGCCAAGCAAUGCAUGAUGGAGCCCAGAGGAAUGAAUAUACGCUUCACCCAAGAAGAUAUGGCAGAGAAGAUUUGGGGCCAAUACUUUGCUAUGCCACAGGUUGUGCCAUGUAGCUCCAUCUCCUCCAGGAAAGGGAUAUUGGUGUAUUACCAGUGGCUGCUGCCAUCUUCCUUCUGUUCUGGUCUCUGUGCUACCACGGAAGAAAUCUGCCUGAGACUUCUGAGAGCUGCACAGACGUUUCCAUGUGAUUGGAUUGAGCCCACCCAGACAAGUGGGGGAUUAUCUCUCUGUUAGCUUUUUGUUGUUGGGAUGAAAUAAAUACCUGAAAUAUACAACUUAAGGGAGGAAAGGUUUAUUUUGGCUCAGAGUUUCAGAGUUUUCAGUCCUUCGGUUGGCCACCUCUAAGGCAGAAAGAAACAUCAUGGCAGAAGGACACAGUGGAGGAAAGCUGCUCUAUCCAUGGUGCUCAGGAAGCGGAGAAACAGAAAGAGCCAGAGAGAGGAAGGGGCUGGGGACAAGAACAUACCUUCCAGGUUACACUCCCAGUGACCUACUUCCUCCAACCACCCUCUACCUCAUAGCAGUGC